AGAAGAGUUGACCACCUUUCUAAAAUUUCCCCUCGCGCACCUUCAAUUUCUGGCUUCAUUCACCCAAGAGGUUUGUUUUCUUCGAUAAUCAUAGCUGUCAUCAUGCCGUUUUGAUACCGGCGCGCCUAGGGUUGUUGAAUGUAGAUGAAGUCAGCAAGGCAGGCAAAGCUGUGGUAGCGACGGUAGUUCCGCAGUCUGUCCGGGUGACGGUAAGGGCCAACCUCGUUUGGUGAAUCAAGCACGCCGUUGGAAUCUUGCGCUCUAGCCUAGCUUGGCUUUGAACAGCGCUCAGUCAAGAGAAUCGGCCGGGCUACGCUUGAAGACUACUCGUCGCGGCUAGGGAGUUUGGGCGCAGGGAACCACGGGUGCUGCCAGUCGCGUCCUGCAACAGGAAAUUUGUCCAAAUACCUGAGAAGCCGUCCCAUCGAAUUUCGAAGUACUUGGCAUGGGCAUGUAAAUUGGAAAAUUGGCUACGCGUAUAUAAUGUGUAUUCGCAAGAGUCCCUAACCAAAGGUGAAUUGACUGCUUACUAAAUGUGACCCCAACCAGGGUUUACAGAUGGCCGGUAAGUAAAGUUCAAUUUAGGUGAAUGUAAAAUGAAUCUGCCUCCCAAUAUUCAGGCAGUCCAUCAUCGGUUUCGAGGAUGCAUUCAUCCGUCCUUCCGACCACCCAUGUAUUCAUCCCUCCCUCUGUCCAUUCUUCUAUCCGUUCAUCCUUCCGUCCGUCUGUCCAUCUUUCCAUUUCACCUGAUCGCGCUCGUUUUAUGCAUACAUCUAUCCAUCCAUUCAUCCGCCAAUCAAUCACCCUUCAGUAUUUAUGUACCAAGCAAUCUGUCGGUGCAUCCGUCAUCGCUUCUGUCGGUGUGUCUGUCAGGCCGUCAGAGCAUCCACCGGUCUGUAUGUGUUUUUCGGCCCAUUGAAAUGUCGGCCUACCAUCGCGAAAACACAGUUCGGCCGCAACAAAUUUUCAGCCUGUACCGCUGCUGCCUGUCUACAUAGUCACACUGAACCUUGCAAAACGAAAUAUACACAACCCUCCAGGCCUUCAUGGCAUCAUCCUUCCACCUCAUAAUUAUGUCCUCGUUCACUUCAUCCCUCCAUCUCUCCAGCAAUCCAUCCAUUGGCCCAUCCAUCCACCCACCGAUCAAACCACCCAACUACUCAACCAUCCAUCCAUCCAUCCAUCAAUCCAUGCUUCCAUUCAUCCAUCCAUCCACCCAUGCAUCCACCAAUGCAUCCAUCCAUCCACAUACCUGUCCACCUAUCCACCCACCACCAAAUCUAUCCAUCCCUCCAUCCCUCCAUCCAUCCAUCCAUCCCUCCAUCCGUCCGUCCAUCCGUCCGU